AGCCGCCGCGGGAAUACGUAGGUGGCAAGCGUUGUCCGGAAUUAUUGGGCGUAAAGGGCUCGCAGGCGGUUUCUUAAGUCUGAUGCGAAAGCCCCCGGCUCAACCGGGGAGGGUCAUUGGAAACUGGGAAACUUGAGUGCAGAAGAGGAGAGUGGAAUUCCACGUGUAGCGGUGAAAUGCGUAGAGAUGUGGAGGAACACCAGUGGCGAAGGCGACUCUCUGGUCUGUAACUGACGCUGAGGAGCGAAAGCGUGGGGAGCGAACAGGAUUAGAUACCCCAGUAGUCCCUGUCUCUUAUACC
rnacentral:rRNA from 1 species